rnacentral:rRNA from 1 species
AUUGAACGCUGGCGGCAGGCCUAACACAUGCAAGUCGAGCGGUAGAGAGGUGCUUGCAUCUCUUGAGAGCGGCGGACGGGUGAGUAAUGCCUAGGAAUCUGCCUAGUGGUGGGGGAUAAACGUUCGGAAACGGACGCUAAUACCGCAUACGUCCUACGGGAGAAAGCGGGGGAUCUUCGGACCUCGCGCCAUUAGAUGAGCCUAGGUCGGAUUAGCUAGUUGGUGAGGUAAUGGCUCACCAAGGCGACGAUCCGUAACUGGUCUGAGAGGAUGAUCAGUCACACUGGAACUGAGACACGGCCCAGACUCCUACGGGAGGCAGCAGUGGGGAAUAUUGGACAAUGGGCGAAAGCCUGAUCCAGCCAUGCCGCGUGUGUGAAGAAGGUACUUCGGA